rnacentral:rRNA from 1 species
GACGAACGCUGGCGGCGUGCUUAACACAUGCAAGUCGAACGGAAAGGCCCUGCUUGCAGGGUACUCGAGUGGCGAACGGGUGAGUAACACGUGGGUGAUCUGCCCUGCACUUCGGGAUAAGCCUGGGAAACUGGGUCUAAUACCGGAUAGGAGCCAUUUUUAGUGUGAUGGUUGGAAAGUUUUUUCGGUGUAGGAUGAGCUCGCGGCCUAUCAGCUUGUUGGUGGGGUAAUGGCCUACCAAGGCGGCGACGGGUAGCCGGCCUGAGAGGGUGGACGGCCACAUUGGGACUGAGAUACGGCCCAGACUCCUACGGGAGGCAGCAGUGGGGAAGAUUGCACAAUGGGCGCAAGCCUGAUGCAGCGACGCCGCGUGGGGGAUGUCGGCCUUCGGGUUGUAAACUCCUUUCGCUAGGGACGAAGCUUUUUGUGACGGUACCUAGAUAAGAAGCACCGGCUAACUACGUG